rnacentral:rRNA from 1 species
CCUACGGGAGGCAGCAGUGGGGAAUUUUGGACAAUGGGGGCAACCCUGAUCCAGCCAUUCCGCGUGAGUGAAGAAGGCCUUCGGGUUGUAAAGCUCUUUUGUUCGGGACGAAACGGUUAAGGCGAACACCCUUGACUACUGACGGUACCGGAAGAAUAAGCACCGGCUAACUACGUACCAGCAGCCGUGGUAAUACGUAGGGUGCGAGCGUUAAUCGGAAUUACUGGGCGUAAAGCGUGCGCAGGCGGUUCUGCAAGUCAGAUGUGAAAUCCCCGGGCUUAACCUGGGAACUGCGUUUGAAACUACGGAGCUAGAGUGCGGCAGAGGGGGGUGGAAUUCCACGUGUAGCAGUGAAAUGCGUAGAUAUGUGGAGGAACACCGAUGGCGAAGGCAGCCCCCUGGGCCGACACUGACGCUCAGGCACGAAAGCGUGGGGAGCAAACAGGAUUAGAUACCCUGGUAGUCCACGCCCUAAACUAUGUCAACUAGUUGUAGGGAAAGCAAUUUCUUGGUAACGAAGCUAACGCGUGAAGUUGACCGCCUGGGGAGUACGGUCGCAAGAUUAAAACUCAAAGGAAUUGACGG